rnacentral:rRNA from 1 species
CAAUGUGGAAAUUCGCCCUUGGCUCAGUAACACGUGGAGAACUUGCCCUAGGCUGGGGGAUAACGUCGGGAAACUGACGACAAUACCCCAUAGCCUCUCCGUCCUGGAACGGUGGAGAGGUGAAAGCUCCGGCGGCCUAGGAUAGCUCUGCGGCCUAUCAGGUUGUAGCGAGGGUAACGUCCUCGCUAGCCUACGACGGGUAUGGGUGUUGGGAGACAUCGCCCAGAGAUGGAUUCUGAGACACGAAUCCAGGUCCUACGGGACGCAGCAGGCGCGAAAACUGCACAAUGUGGGAAACCACGAUGCGGGAAACCCAAGUGCCAGCGCUAUGCGUUGGCUGUCCUCCAGUGUUCGUAACUGGGGAAGAAAGUGCUGGGUAAGACGGGUGCCAGCCGCCGCGGUAAUACCCGCAGCACAAGUGGUGGUCAUUAUUAUUGGGCCUAAAGCGUCCGUAGCUGGCCUGUUAGAUGCCUGGGUAAAUCGAUGCGCUCAACGUAUCGAACUCCGGGUAGACCGGCAGGCUUGGGACCGGGAGAGGCGUGAGCUACUCGGGGGGUAGGGGUAAAAUCCUGUAAUCCUCCGGGGAGGACCAGUGGCGAAGGCGUCACGCUAGAGCGGCCCCGACAGUGAGGGACGAAGCCCUGGGGCGCAAACCGGAUUAGGUACCCGGGUAGUCCAGGGUGUAAACGCUGCAGACUUGGUGUCGGUGAUCCUACGAGGGUUGCCGGUGCCGUAGAGAAGUUUGUUUAGUCUGCCGCCUGGGGAGUACGGUCGCAAGACUGAAACUCAAAGGAAUUGACGGGAAGGGCGAAUUCCACAGUG